rnacentral:piRNA from 1 species
UGGUCUGAUUGCUCUCUUAUAUUCGGUGUU